rnacentral:rRNA from 1 species
CCUACGGGAGGCAGCAGUGAGGAAUAUUGGUCAAUGGGCGCAAGCCUGAACCAGCCAAGUCGCGUGAGGGAUGACGGUCCUAUGGAUUGUAAACCUCUUUUGUCGGGGAGCAAGGCCCGCCACGUGUGGCGGGAAGGAGAGUACCCGAAGAAAAAGCAUCGGCUAACUCCGUGCCAGCAGCCGCGGUUAUACGGAGGAUGCGAGCGUUAUCCGGAUUUAUUGGGUUUAAAGGGUGCGUAGGCGGAAGGUUAAGUCAGCGGUAAAAUGUCGGUGCUCAACACCGGCCUGCCGUUGAAACUGGUCUUCUUGAGUGAGCGAGAAGUAUGCGGAAUGCGUGGUGUAGCGGUGAAAUGCAUAGAUAUCACGCAGAACUCCGAUUGCGAAGGCAGCAUACCGGCGCUCAACUGACGCUGAGGCACGAAAGCGUGGGGAUCGAACAGGAUUAGAUACCCCAGUAGUC